GGGGGAAGGUGUGAGUGUUUGUGCUGAAGAAAAUGUGGCAUGGAAAAGAAGAAUGUAAUGAAGCUUACUCCAAAUAUCCCCAAGACACCUAAUGUGAAGGCAAUCGGUUUCCUAAUGCUCUCUUCACCUCAUCUGCCAGUACUCUGUUAAGUACUGAUAGCAUCAGAGCAGUGCCCGGAGCGUAGAUAAGGAGAUCUGCUUGUUGCCUGUCUGAAGGAUGGCGCUGCUGACGGGAAGCCGAUUGUGCAACGCUCCACCUAGCACUGAGCUGUUGGUCAAUAAAAGCCAACAAAUCAGAUUGGAGUUUUAUGGGAUUAAUUUCUAGCAGCUACCACUAACCGCUCCACCAGAUCAUGUUCCACUUUGAUUGCUUCAGCGUAUCUGAGCCGCUGCUGUGGCAAGCGAUCUGUUACAGCACUGUGCAGUCAUUUUACCUCACCUACCUGCUUGUGAUGGUGGGAGUUUCUCUGUCCUUGUCUGCAUCGCUCUCCCCUGUCCUGCUGCAGAACUUGCUGCUGUUGCUUGUACAGUUUCUGCAAUGAUGUCCUUCGUGCUUCACAAAGUGCUGGGAUGAUUGCAGCGAUUCUCAGAGGGGCUGCCUGCUAGCGAGGAUCACACUGUGUGUUUUGAGCAUGAUUUUCAUCAGCCUCAGUGCCGUGGCAGGAAGGGAUGCUCGGGGCUGCUGAUCCUGCCUGGCAGUGCAGCAUGGGCAGAGCCAUGGGAAGCACGAAAACCUGCUCUGUUCUCAUUAGGGAUCGUUAUCGGUGCUCACCUCCCCACAGCUGCACCCAACCUGCCCACACCUUGAGGACUCUGUGUGCCUGGUGCUGAGAUGAGGGUGUGACCGUGAGCGAGGGCUUGCAAAUCUGUUCAGAAGUGACUCUCAAACUUCAAAAAUAAAUUAAAAAAAGAACAGAAUCCUGUAUUGAUUGCUUUCACUUUAUCUAUUGCAUGUCCCUGCAAAGAAAAUAUCAUCAAUCAAAAUGGUGAGAUGAAUGCAGUGUUGGGUUAAAUUCCAGUGUUUUCAGUUUUACCUCGUUGGGAUGUUUCCAGAGUGAGGUGAUUCUUCUCAUUGCUGAAAACUGCUGAUUCUUUCUUAGCUUUUAAAGCAAUAAUCAAAGCCGCUGGAUCAGAAUCUUUAUUACAAGUAUU